rnacentral:misc_RNA from 1 species
ACGGAACCGAAGUCGUUCGAAACAGGCCUUGAGGCCUUUUAACGGACAGAUAGGAGCCGGUGACUCCGUGCCCUCAUCGUUUACUGCAUCCCAGCGCCCGAGCGAGAAUUCGUGGACCACGAAACCGACACRAAUUGUUCGAUUGGUGGGACACGAAUCCCGUUUCGAGUUUCACCCGCAACCGCWCCGAGAAAACGGGCAGCAUUAGGCGAACGGAAAGAGAUUGGCAACCGAAUUCCAUCGAGUAGGUACGAAACACAGGAAACCGACAGAUGGCCAAUGUACAUUGUGCCAACAAUGAAGAGGAUAGCAAGGUCGGACGUCGCUGCACGAGGCAGGGAUCCAA